GACGAGGGGUCCUAGCGUUGUUCGGAAUUAUUGGGCGUAAAGCGGGUGCAGGCGGCUUUGCAAGUCAGAAGUGAAAGCCCUGGGCUUAACCCAGGAAGUGCUUUUGAUACUGCAUGGCUUGAGUGUGGGAGAGGAUAGUAGAAUUCCUGGUGUAGUGGUGAAAUACGUAGAUAUCAGGAGGAAUACCGGCGGCGAAGGCGGCUAUCUGGCCCAACACUGACGCUCAGACCCGAAAGCGUGGGGAGCAAACAGG
rnacentral:misc_RNA from 1 species